UAUAAGUGAUUUUGAGUUUUUGCUUGCAACGUUUGACCAUUCGUCUUAUUCAAAUUUUUUUUUAAAUUAUUAUUUAUUUUAUUUGUGACUUACUUUAUUAUCUAUAGUACUUUAAGCAUAACUUUUUGUUUUUUAUAUUUACAAAAAAAAUUGAAUAAGACGAAUGGUCAAACGUUGCGAGCAAAAACUCAAAAUCUCUUAUA
rfam:Oryza glumipatula chromosome 10, whole genome shotgun sequence.